GCUUGGCUGGCUCAGUCAGUAGAGUAUGCGACUCUUGAUCUUGCGGUUGUGAGUUCGAGCCCCAUGUUGAGUG
rnacentral:tRNA from 1 species